GCCCCCGUAGCUCAGUGGAUAGAGUACCGGCCUCCGGAGCCGGGAGCCUGCGUUCGAAUCGCAGCGGGGGUA
rnacentral:tRNA from 1 species